CAGUAGCCGCGGGAAUACGAAGGGUGCAAGCGUUACUCGGAAUUACUGGGCGUAAAGCGUGCGUAGGUGGUGGUUUAAGUCCGUUGUGAAAGCCCUGGGCUCAACCUGGGAAUUGCAGUGGAUACUGGGUCACUAGAGUGUGGUAGAGGAUAGUGGAAUUUCCGGUGUAGCAGUGAAAUGCGUAGAGAUCGGAAGGAACAUCUGUGGCGAAGGCGACUAUCUGGGCCAACACUGACACUGAGGCACGAAAGCGUGGGGAGCAAACAGGAUUAGAUACCCCCGUAGUCCCUGUCUCUUAUAU
rnacentral:rRNA from 1 species